rnacentral:rRNA from 1 species
GAGUGGCGAACGGGUGAGUAACACGUGGGUAACCUGCCCAGAAGUAGGGGAUAACACCUGGAAACAGAUGCUAAUACCGUAUAACAGAGAAAACCGCAUGGUUUUCUUUUAAAAGAUGGCUCUGCUAUCACUUCUGGAUGGACCCGCGGCGUAUUAGCUAGUUGGUGAGGUAAAGGCUCACCAAGGCAGUGAUACGUAGCCGACCUGAGAGGGUAAUCGGCCACAUUGGGACUGAGACACGGCCCAGACUCCUACGGGAGGCAGCAGUAGGGAAUCUUCCACAAUGGACGCAAGUCUGAUGGAGCAACGCCGCGUGAGUGAAGAAGGGUUUCGGCUCGUAAAGCUCUGUUGUUAAAGAAGAACGUGGGUAAGAGUAACUGUUUACCCAGUGACGGUAUUUAACCAGAAAGCCACGGCUAACUACGUGCCAGCAGCCGCGGUAAUACGUAGGUGGCAAGCGUUAUCCGGAUUUAUUGGGCGUAAAGCGAGCGCAGGCGGUCUUUUAAGUCUAAUGUGAAAGCCUUCGGCUCAACCGAAGAAGUGCAUUGGAAACUGGGAGACUUGAGUGCAGAAGAGGACAGUGGAACUCCAUGUGUAGCGGUGAAAUGCGUAGAUAUAUGGAAGAACACCAGUGGCGAAGGCGGCUGUCUGGUCUGCAACUGACGCUGAGGCUCGAAAGCAUGGGUAGCGAACAGGAUUAGAUACCCUGGUAGUCCAUGCCGUAAACGAUGAUUACUAAGUGUUGGAGGGUUUCCGCCCUUCAGUGCUGCAGCUAACGCAUUAAGUAAUCCGCCUGGGGAGUACGACCGCAAGGUUGAAACUCAAAAGAAUUGACGGGGGCCCGCACAAGCGGUGGAGCAUGUGGUUUAAUUCGAAGCUACGCGAAGAACCUUACCAGGUCUUGACAUCUUCUGACAGUCUAAGAGAUUAGAGGUUCCCUUCGGGGACAGAAUGACAGGUGGUGCAUGGUUGUCGUCAGCUCGUGUCGUGAGAUGUUGGGUUAAGUCCCGCAACGAGCGCAACCCUUAUUACUAGUUGCCAGCAUUAAGUUGGGCACUCUAGUGAGACUGCCGGUGACAAACCGGAGGAAGGUGGGGACGACGUCAAAUCAUCAUGCCCCUUAUGACCUGGGCUACACACGUGCUACAAUGGAUGGUACAACGAGUCGCGAGACCGCGAGGUUAAGCUAAUCUCUUAAAACCAUUCUCAGUUCGGACUGUAGGCUGCAACUCGCCUACACGAAGUCGGAAUCGCUAGUAAUCGCGGAUCAGCAUGCCGCGGUGAAUACGUUCCCGGGCCUUGUACACACCGCCCGUCACACCAUGAGAGUUUGUAACACCCAAAGCCGGUGGGGUAACCUUUUAGGAGCUAGCCGUCUAAGGUGGGAC